rnacentral:tRNA from 1 species
AGGGGCUGUAGCUCAGUUGGUAGAGCGCUUCGUUCGCAUCGAAGAGGUCGCGGUUUCGACUACCGUCAGCUCCACG